ensembl:snRNA U6 U6 spliceosomal RNA
GUGCUUGCUUCAGCAGCACAUAUACUAAAAUUGGAACAAUACAGAGAAAAUUAGCAUGGCCUCUGUGCAAGGAUGACACGCAAACGUGAAGUGUUCCAUAUUUUU